rnacentral:ncRNA from 1 species
UUAAUGUUUAAUUCUGGCUUUAUGUUUUUACUAUAUUAUAAAAAUUACAUGAAAGUUGUUAAGUAAGGAAAUAAAAACUAAUUUUAUAUUAGUAUUAAAAAAAUAUAAUAAUAUGAUAAUUAUUUAUGUUCUCAGUAUUAAAUUUUAGUAGAUGUAUGAAAAUGUGAAUUAGUGAGUAAUAGGUAAACCCGAUAAAAUAUUUGUGCCAGCAUUCGCGGUUAGACUUUAGGGUUGAGUAAAGAAUUGAGUAUAUGAGUUAUUUGUAAAGUAUUAAUGUUGGUUUAUAAGUAAUAAUAGGUGAAAUUUUUAUUGUUUUGUAAAUUUUAAGAUAUUUUAAGGAAGCUUAUAAGCUUUAAAAAUAAACUAGGAUUAGAUACCCUAUUAUAUUAAAGUUAAAGAAAGUAUAUGUAAUUAUUAGUAGGUAUUACUUAAAACUUAAAGAAUUUGGCGGUAGUUUAGUCUUGUUAGAGGAACCUGUUUAAGGAAAUCGAUACACCACGUAAUAUCUUACUUGUUUUUAGUUUGUAUAUCGUCAUUAUUAGAUAAUUUUUAAAAAAUAAAUUAUUAGAAUUAAUGUUACUAAGAAAAUUAGAUCAAGGUGCAGCAAAUAAAUAAGUUUAAAUGGGUUACAAUAAAUUUUAUUUAAAUGGAAAAAAAUUAGUAAGUUAUUUUAGGAAGGAGGAUUUAAUAGUAAUAUAAGUUUAAUAAGCUUAUAUGAUAAGGGCUCUAAAUUAUGUACAUAUCGCCCGUCGCUUUCAUUAAUUAAUGAGAAAAGUCGUAACAUAGUAGGUGUACUGGAAAGUGUACCUGGAAUUGU